CCGACCGGCGCACGGGUGAGUAACACGUAUGAAACCUGCCCGUAGCAGGGGGAUAAGCGGAAGAAAUUCCGUCUAAUACCGCGUAACAACCCAUGGAGGCAUNUCUGUGGGUUUAAAGGAAGCGAUUCCGGCUACGGAUGGUCAUGCGUCGCAUUAGCUUGUUGGCGGGGUAACGGCCCACCAAGGCGACGAUGCGUAGGGGUUCUGAGAGGAAGGUCCCCCACACUGGUACUGAGACACGGACCAGACUCCUACGGAAGGCAGCAG
rnacentral:rRNA from 1 species